rnacentral:tRNA from 1 species
AGAAAAGUAAGCUAAAUUAAGCUAAUGGGUUCAUACCCCAUCUAUAGAGAUACCUCUCUUUUCUA